UAUUUAAUAAUUGAUUGCUUGUUUCCUGAAUGGAAAAUUUGGAUGCUUUUAGAUAAACCUACUUUUAGAUAAAAGUUGUUUACAUUCUUGGUUAUAAUCCAUCUGAUAGUCUCCUAAGAAAAGUGCAACUUGAUUAUGUCACAUUGAUUGCAAUUAAAAUUGCACUUGAUAUAUAUUUGUUACUUUUUUGUGUUUCUAUUCAAUCAUACUGAUGGAAUUAAUUUCUUCUGUAAUUUUAGAGCUUGUUGAGGGUGAAGUGGUUGUGUGCUUGUGUCAUCAAACCAUCUGAACUUAAGUGGAUUCAUGGCCUUGAUGGAGACUAGGUGCAGAUCUUGGAAAUGAACUUAGAAGAUGAAGCUGAGGAAGAUGGUGCCAAUGUUGAUCUUGACUCACGAAGGAAGGGGAAGUGUGUCAUUCUAUAAACAUCUACAAGCCAAGUGAAUUUGGAUUUCUAUUUUCAUUGAUUCAGUAUCUCUUGGAUUGCUUUAUCUGGAUUAGACUACUGUGUUUUUUUUUAUUGGAUGGCUGCUUAAGUUAUAUUUUUCUUUUCUUUUUCUUUUUUUGUUAGCUAUUUGAGCUAACUUUAUUAUUGGUUGGUUUUUGUCCUUCACGAUUAGCUUUUCUUUGUCGAGUUUUAUAUGUUGUAUUGAGAUCAUGUUUCAAAUUAAUGAGAU